GAUUGAACGCUGGCGGCAGGCUUAACACAUGCAAGUGGAGCGGUAACAGAAAGAAAGCUUGCUUUCUUUGCUGACGAGCGGCGGACGGGUGAGUAAUGCCUAGGAAGUUGCCCAGUAGAGGGGGAUAACCAUUGGAAACGAUGGCUAAUACCGCAUACUCUCUUCGGAGCAAAGCAGGGGACCUUCGGGCCUUGCGCUAUUGGAUACGCCUAGGUGGGAUUAGCUAGUUGGUGAGGUAAAGGCUCACCAAGGCGACGAUCCCUAGCUGGUCUGAGAGGAUGAUCAGCCACACUGGAACUGAGACACGGUCCAGACUCCUACGGGAGGCAGCAGUGGGGAAUAUUGCACAAUGGGGGAAACCCUGAUGCAGCCAUGCCGCGUGUGUGAAGAAGGCCUUCGGGUUGUAAAGCACUUUCCAGCAGUGAGGAAGGUGGUGUCGUUAAUAACUGCAUCAUCUGACGUUAGC
rnacentral:rRNA from 1 species